UACGGGGGGGGCAAGCGUUGUUCGGAAUUACUGGGCGUAAAGGGCUCGUAGGUGGCCAACUAAGUCAUACGUGAAAUCCCUCGGCUUAACCGGGGAACUGCGUCUGAUACUGGAUGGCUCGAGUUUGGGAGAGGGAUGCGGAAUUCCAGGUGUAGCGGUGAAAUGCGUAGAUAUCUGGAGGAACACCGGUGGCGAAGGCGGCAUUCUGGACCAAUACUGACGCUGAGGAGCGAAAGCCAGGGGAGCAAACGGG
rnacentral:rRNA from 1 species